rnacentral:rRNA from 1 species
CCUACGGGAGGCAGCAGUGGGGAAUAUUGCACAAUGGGCGAAAGCCUGAUGCAGCAACGCCGCGUGAGCGAUGAAGGCCUUCGGGUCGUAAAGCUCUGUCCUCAAGGAAGAUAAUGACGGUACUUGAGGAGGAAGCCACGGCUAACCACGUGCCAGCAGCCGCGGUAAUACGUAGGGGGCUGGCGUUAUCCGGAUUUACUGGGCGUAAAGGGUGCGUAGGUGGUUUAUUAAGUCAGAGGUAAAAGGCUACGGCUCAACCGUAGUAAGCCUUUAAAACUGGGGAACUUGAGUGCAGGAGAGGAGAGCGGAAUGUCUGGUGUAGCGGUGAAAUGCGUAGAUAUCAUGCAGAACACCAGUUGCGAAGGCGGCUCUC